UGGGGAAUAUUGGACAAUGGACCAAGAGUCUGAUCCAGCAAUUCUGUGUGCACGAUGAAGUUUUUCGGAAUGUAAAGUGCUUUCAGUUGGGAAGAAAAAAAUGACGGUACCAACAGAAGAAGUGACGGCUAAAUACGUGCCAGCAGCCGCGGUAAUACGUAUGUCACGAGCGUUAUCCGGAUUUAUUGGGCGUAAAGCGCGUCUAGGUGGUUAUGUAAGUCUGAUGUGAAAAUGCAGGGCUCAACUCUGUAUUGCGUUGGAAACUGUAUAACUAGAGUACUGGAGAGGUAAGCGGAACUACAAGUGUAGAGGUGAAAUUCGUAGAUAUUUGUAGGAAUGCCGAUGGGGAAGCCAGCUUACUGGACAGAUACUGACGCUGAAGCGCGAAAGCGUGGGUAGCAAACAGGAUUAGAUACCCUGGUAGUCCAUGCCGUAAACGAUGAUUACUAGGUGUUGGGGGUCGAACCUCAGCGCCCAAGCAAACACGAUAAGUAAUCCGCCUGGGGAGUACGUACGCAAGUAUG
rnacentral:rRNA from 1 species